AAAUUGAAGAGUUUGAUCAUGGCUCAGAUUGAACGCUGGCGGCAGGCCUAACACAUGCAAGUCGAACGGUAACAGGAAGCAGCUUGCUGCUUCGCUGACGAGUGGCGGACGGGUGAGUAAUGUCUGGGAAACUGCCUGAUGGAGGGGGAUAACUACUGGAAACGGUGGCUAAUACCGCAUAACGUCGCAAGACCAAAGAGGGGGACCUUCGGGCCUCUUGCCAUCAGAUGUGCCCAGAUGGGAUUAGCUUGUUGGUGAGGUAACGGCUCACCAAGGCGACGAUCCCUAGCUGGUCUGAGAGGAUGACCAGCCACACUGGAACUGAGACACGGUCCAGACUCCUACGGGAGGCAGCAGUGGGGAAUAUUGCACAAUGGGCGCAAGCCUGAUGCAGCCAUGCCGCGUGUAUGAAGAAGGCCUUCGGGUUG
rnacentral:rRNA from 1 species